GCAGUUGUGGAGAUGACCUGUGUAAGGCCAGCUACAAUAGCUCCUGGAGUAAUAUCAUCCACUCCUGGACUGACGAGACCUAUUACAGUGGAAACUACACCAACCACCCCUACAAGUCAUGAUGCACCUCCGGAGACUGUCCUGGUGCCUGCGAUAGCAGACUGUGCACCAGCCCCUGCCUCUAUGCUAAUAAGUACACCAACUGUGCUGACACGGCCAAGCAGCCGGGGCUGCAGCAACAGUCAUGUCACCUCCUAGUGUCCUGUCUCCUGCAGGACUCAUCAGACGGUCUGAUCAGCCAGAGACAUGUUCUGACCAAUCAUCCUGAUAGACAACAACAAUCAUCCUGAUAGACAACAACAAUCAUCCUGAUAGACAACAACAAUCAUCCUGAUAGACAACAACAAUCUCCUAAUAAACCUGGUCAUGACUAAGGUGUCCUCCAUCUUGCAAUAAAUAAUCAUCCUUUGGUUAAGUUGUAAAAUGCAA